AACGUAGGUUCCGAGCGUUAUCCGGAUUUACUGGGCGUAAAGCGCGUUCAGGCGGUUUGGCAAGUCGGGCAUGAAAUCCCUCGGCUUAACCGAGGAACUGCCGUCCAAACUGCUUCGCUUGAGACCGGGAGAGGUGAGUGGAAUUCCCAGUGUAGCGGUGAAAUGCGUAGAUAUUGGGAGGAACACCAGUGGCGAAGGCGGCUCACUGGACCGGUACUGACGCUGAUGCGCGAAAGCGUGGGGAGCAAACGGG
rnacentral:rRNA from 1 species